AUGGGGAGAUGGGGAGAGGGAGUGGACAGCCAAGGGUGGCAGGUGACCCGACAAGCCCGAGGGGUGGCCCUGGUGCAGCGGGGCAGGCGGGCCGGAUGCUGGACUUCAGGGCCACUGCCCUGCUCCACGGCCCCCCGCCCCGUGGGCCUGGCUCUGGCAGGUGGCUGUGGGUGGGGUCUGGAGGGCGUCCCUGGGCUGGGACUUCAGGGCCGCUCGGCAUGUUUUUGCUCUAAGUGGUUCUCCAGACCUGCCUGGGCCUGCUGUGUGGGGACACGGCUGGGGAGUGCCACUCAGGGAGGUGGAUACCAGGAAGAGAAGAGAAGGGCGUGCCCCCGACAUGGCAGCCCCACGGGGCCUUGCCCCCCGCCAAGCGCCCCCCUCUUGCCCACAGCUGAAGUCCUCAGCUGGGGAGGGCUCGGGCAGCUGUGGGCCGUGGAGGAGGAAAGCCCGCCUCCCCAGUCUGGUCUGGGCCCCACAGAUGGGGCACUCACGGCAGGGAGUGGAGAGACACCCGCAGGCCGGAGACCUGAGCCCGGGAGCGAGGUGCCCCGUGCGCCCACCAAGUCCAGCCCUGCGGGGUGGCCCAGGCCUGGGGCUGGGAGUCCACCUAGGGUCAGGGCCCAGGCUCCCUGUUCCUCCCUGGAAGCCUGGCGGGGCGGCGGGGGCCCGGCCUCGCGUGGGCCCUGCUCUCCCAGCCCCGAGCAGGCGAGGACACCAGCCCGGCCGUUACACAACAUAGUUUAUUUCAGACUCGGCCUGCGCUCAGGCCCGGGGUCUCAGCGGCCGGCUGGCCAGGCUCCCCCCGUGCCCGCGCCCGCUGCCACCGCACCGAGGGCUGCACGGCGCAGUGUCCCUGCAGGCCCAGCGGGCUGGUGCCCAUGGGUGCCGGGCCCCCUCCAAGCAGCUCUACUCUACGGGUUAUUGCAUGUAUACGCUAGUGAGACUCAAAGGGUGCAGUGGGGCGGGGGGCUGGGCUGGGCAGCCCUCCGCUGCCCCCCGGGGCACAAGCUGGGCCCGGCUGGGGCACAGGCGAUGGGCGGGGGGGCACAGAAGCUCGGCCGCUGCGUGGCCUUGGCUCAGUCGCCUGGCGCCGGGCGUACACACGUGGACCCCCGGCCCGGCCCAGCUACAAACAAAGAGCAGAAAUGGGGAGAGUGA
rnacentral:lncRNA from 1 species